CUACGGGUGGCACCAGUGGGGAAUUUUGCGCAAUGGGGGAAACCCUGACGCAGCAAUACCGCGUGAGUGAAGAAGGCCUUUGGGUCGUAAAGCUCUUUUCUUGGGGAAGAUAGUGACGGUACCCAAGGAAUAAGCACCGGCUAACUCCGUGCCAGCAGCCGCGGUAAUACGGAGGGUGCAAGCGUUGUUCGGAUUUACUGGGCGUAAAGGGCACGUAGGCGGCACAGCAAGUUAAGGGUGAAAUCCCGGGGCUCAAUUCCGGAACUGCUCUUAAAACUGCUGAGCUAGAGAUAGUCAGAGGCGGGUGGAAUUCCAGGUGUAGAGGUGAAAUUCGUAGAUAUCUGGAGGAACACCGGUGGCGAAGGCGGCCCGCUGGGGCUAUUCUGACGCUAAGGUGCGAAAGCGUGGGGAGCAAACGGGAUUAGAUACCCUAGUAGUC
rnacentral:rRNA from 1 species